rnacentral:rRNA from 1 species
GGAUUAGAUACCCUGGUAGUCCACGCCGUAAACGAUGAUCACUCGUUGUAUGUCAAAAUGAUGGCAUGUGACCAAGCGAAAGCAUUAAGUGAUCCACCUGGGGAGUACGUUCGCAAGAAUGAAACUCAAAGGAAUUGACGGGGGCCCGCACAAGCGGAGGAACAUGUGGUUUAAUUCGAUGAUACGCGAGGAACCUUACCUGGGCUUAAAUGUAGAACGACUUUUGCCGAAAGGCAUUUUCCCUUCGGGGCGAUCUACAAGGUGCUGCAUGGUUGUCGUCAGCUCGUGCCG